rnacentral:rRNA from 1 species
UGGGGAAUUUUCCGCAAUGGGCGCAAGCCUGACGGAGUGACGCCGCGUGGGGGACGAAGGCCUUCGGGUCGUAAACCCCUGUCAGAGGGAAAGAAGGGGCGGGGAGUGAACUCUCCGUUCUGACGGUACCUUCAGAGGAAGCCCCGGCCAACUCUGUGCCAGCAGCCGCGGUAAGACAGAGGGGGCAAGCGUUGCUCGGAAUCACUGGGCGUAAAGGGCGCGUAGGCGGGCGCUCAAGUCGGUCGUGAAAUCUCCGGGCUCAACCCGGCGGGGUCGGCCGAAACUGAGUGUCUUGAGGGAGGCAGAGGAGUCUGGAAUUCCCGGUGUAGCGGUGAAAUGUGUAGAGAUCGGGAGGAACACCGGUGGCGAAGGCGGGACUCUGGGCCUACCCUGACGCUGAGGCGCGAAGGCGUGGGGAGCAAACGGGAUUAGAUACCCCGGUAGUCCACGCGGUAAACGAUGACGACUAGGUGUGGGGGGGUUCAGUCCCUUCCGUGCCGCAGCUAACGCAUUAAGUCGUCCGCCUGGGGAGUACGGCCGCAAGGUUGA